UGGGGAAUAUUGCGCAAUGGGGGAAACCCUGACGCAGCAACGCCGCGUGAAGGAUGAAGGUUUUCGGAUCGUAAACUUCUUUGAUGGGGGACGAAAAAAAUGACGGUACCCCAAAAACAAGCCACGGCUAACUACGUGCCAGCAGCCGCGGUAAUACGUAGGUGGCGAGCGUUGUCCGGAUUUACUGGGUGUAAAGGGCGUGUAGGCGGGACUGUAAGUCAGAUGUGAAAUUCCGGGGCUCAACCCCGGCGCUGCAUCUGAAACUAUAGUUCUUGAGUGCUGGAGAGGAAAGCGGAAUUCCUAGUGUAGCGGUGAAAUGCGUAGAUAUUAGGAGGAACACCAGUGGCGAAGGCGGCUUUCUGGACAGUAACUGACUCUCAGGGACGAAAGCGUGGGGAGCAAACA
rnacentral:rRNA from 1 species